rnacentral:rRNA from 1 species
CCCAAGGGUUGGGCUGUUCGCCCAUUAAAGCGGUACGCGAGCUGGGUUCAGAACGUCGUGAGACAGUUCGGUCCCUAUCCGUCGUGGGCGUAGGAAAUUUGAGAGGAGCUGUCCUUAGUACGAGAGGACCGGGAUGGACAUACCUCUGGUGUACCAGUUGUCGUGCCAACGGCAUAGCUGGGUAGCUAUGUGUGGACGGGAUAAGUGCUGAAAGCAUCUAAGCAUGAAGCCCCCCUCAAGAUGAGAUUUCCCAACUUCGGUUAUAAGAUCCCUCAAAGAUGAUGAGGUUAAUAGGUUCGAGGUGGAAGCAUGGUGACAUGUGGAGCUGACGAAUACUAAUCGAUCGAAGACUUAAUCAA